UACGUAGGGGCUAGCGUUGUCCGGAUUUAUUGGGCGUAAAGAGCGUGUAGGCGGCCAAGUAGGUCCGGUGUGAAAACUCGAGGCUUAACCUCGAGAUGUCAUCGGAAACCAUUUGGCUAGAGUCCGGAAGAGGAAAGUGGAAUUCCUGGUGUAGCGGUGAAAUGCGCAGAUAUCAGGAAGAACACCAGUGGCGAAGGCGGCUCGCUGGACCUGACCUGACGCUGAGGCGCGAAGGCGUGGGGAGCGAACGGG
rnacentral:rRNA from 1 species